ensembl:lncRNA
CAAAAAACACAUACAAACGCCACAACAACUACAUAUUCAAAAAACACAUACAAACGCCACAACAACUACAUAUUCAAAAAACACAUACAAACGCCACAACAACUACAUAUUCAAAAAACACAUACAAACGCCACAACAACUACAUAUUCAAAAAACACAUACAAACGCCACAACAACUACAUAUUCAAAAAACACAUACAAACGCCACAACAACUACAUAUUCAAAAAACACAUACAAACGCCACAACAACUACAUAUUCAAAAAACACAUACAAACGCCACAACAACUACAUAUUCAAAAAACACAUACAAACGCCACAACAACUACAUAUUCAAAAAACACAUACAAACGCCACAACAACUACAUAUUCAGAAAACAACUUCGUCGAUUUCACAUCACGUACGCUGCAAAUAUUCACAGCACGAGCAAAUAGGGAAACGAACUGCAAACUGCAAAGACACAACGGAAAUGUUUCCGGGGGGGCCAUAAUCAGUGACGGACCCGCAUCCAUCCGGUUGUCUUCGCGCUAUCUGAAUGUGCGCUUUUGUUGUUUAUGGCUACAAGAGAUUGAAAUGUUCUGUCCGUUUUGUGCUGUGCAACUGGGGGACGCUCCCAAGUUUUGCCCGUCGUGUGGUCUGAACGUGGGGUUCCUUACGGAGCGUCCAUCCACGUCAUCAAGCGUAGGCCAUGGGCCUACAGAUUUCAAUUGGCAUAAUGACCAGAACAAAAUAUGGGUUAAAACCUAUAAGAGGGAAAACCUUGCCAUUAAAUGUUGA